GUGCCAGCAGCCGCGGUAAUACGGAGGGUGCGAGCGUUGUUCGGAAUCAUUGGGCGUAAAGGGCGUGUAGGUGGUCUGUUAAGUCAUGUGUGAAAGCCCCCGGCUCAACCGGGGAAGUGCGCAUGAAACUGACAAGCUAGAGUACCGAAGAGGAGGGUGGAAUUCCAGGUGUAGCGGUGAAAUGCGUAGAUAUCUGGAGGAACACCGGUGGCGAAGGCGGCCCUCUGGUCGGAUACUGACGCUAAAACGCGAAAGCGUGGGGAGCAAACAGGAUUAGAUACCCGCGUAGUCC
rnacentral:rRNA from 1 species